UUGCUUCAACAGCACAAAUAACAAAAUUGGAAUGAUGCAGAGAAGAUUACUAUGGUCACUGCACGAGGAUGUCGUGGAAAUUCAUGAAGCAUUCUAUGAAAAA
rnacentral:snRNA from 1 species